rnacentral:rRNA from 1 species
UGGGGAAUAUUGGACAAUGGGCGAAAGCCUGAUCCAGCAAUGCCGCGUGUGUGAAGAAGGUCUUCGGAUUGUAAAGCACUUUCGACGGGGACGAUGAUGACGGUACCCGUAGAAGAAGCCCCCGGCUAACUUCGUGCCAU